rnacentral:rRNA from 1 species
UUAAGUUAUUAAGGGCGCACGGUGGAUGCCUUGGCACUAGAAGCCGAUGAAGGACGUUACUAACGACGAUAUGCUUUGGGGAGCUGUAAGUAAGCUUUGAUCCAGAGAUUUCCGAAUGGGGAAACCCAGCAUGAGUUAUGUCAUGUUAUCGAUAUGUGAAUACAUAGCAUAUCAGAAGGCACACCCGGAGAACUGAAACAUCUUAGUACCCGGAGGAAGAGAAAGAAAAUUCGAUUCCCUUAGUAGCGGCGAGCGAAACGGGAAGAGCCCAAACCAAAAAGCUUGCUUGUUGGGGUUGUAGGACACUCUAUACGGAGUUACAAAGGACGACAUUAGACGAAUCAUCUGGAAAGAUGAAUCAAAGAAGGUAAUAAUCCUGUAGUCGAAAAUGUUGUCUCUCUUGAGUGGAUCCUGAGUACGACGGAGCACGUGAAAUUCCGUCGGAAUCUGGGAGGACCAUCUCCUAAGGCUAAAUACUCUCUAGUGACCGAUAGUGAACCAGUACCGUGAGGGAAAGGUGAAAAGCACCCCGGAAGGAGAGUGAAAUAGAACCUGAAACCGUGUGCUUACAAGUAGUCAGAGCCCGUUAAUGGGUGAUGGCGUGCCUUUUGUAGAAUGAACCGGCGAGUUACGAUUUGAUGCAAGGUUAAGCAGUAAAUGUGGAGCCGUAGCGAAAGCGAGUCUGAAUAGGGCGUUUAGUAUUUGGUCGUAGACCCGAAACCAGGUGAUCUACCCUUGGUCAGGUUGAAGUUCAGGUAACACUGAAUGGAGGACCGAACCGACUUACGUUGAAAAGUGAGCGGAUGAACUGAGGGUAGCGGAGAAAUUCCAAUCGAACCUGGAGAUAGCUGGUUCUCUCCGAAAUAGCUUUAGGGCUAGCCUCAAGUGAUGAUUAUUGGAGGUAGAGCACUGUUUGGACGAGGGGCCCCUCUCGGGUUACCGAAUUCAGACAAACUCCGAAUGCCAAUUAAUUUAACUUGGGAGUCAGAACAUGGGUGAUAAGGUCCGUGUUCGAAAGGGAAACAGCCCAGACCACCAGCUAAGGUCCCAAAAUAUAUGUUAAGUGGAAAAGGAUGUGGCGUUGCCCAGACAACUAGGAUGUUGGCUUAGAAGCAGCCAUCAUUUAAAGAGUGCGUAAUAGCUCACUAGUCGAGUGACACUGCGCCGAAAAUGUACCGGGGCUAAACAUAUUACCGAAGCUGUGGAUUGUCCUUUGGACAAUGGUAGGAGAGCGUUCUAAGGGCGUUGAAGCAUGAUCGUAAGGACAUGUGGAGCGCUUAGAAGUGAGAAUGCCGGUGUGAGUAGCGAAAGACGGGUGAGAAUCCCGUCCACCGAUUGACUAAGGUUUCCAGAGGAAGGCUCGUCCGCUCUGGGUUAGUCGGGUCCUAAGCUGAGGCCGACAGGCGUAGGCGAUGGAUAACAGGUUGAUAUUCCUGUACCACCUAUAAUCGUUUUAAUCGAUGGGGGGACGCAGUAGGAUAGGCGAAGCGUGCGAUUGGAUUGCACGUCUAAGCAGUAAGGCUGAGUAUUAGGCAAAUCCGGUACUCGUUAAGGCUGAGCUGUGAUGGGGAGAAGACAUUGAGUCUUCGAGUCGUUGAUUUCACACUGCCGAGAAAAGCCUCUAGAUAGAAAAUAGGUGCCCGUACCGCAAACCGACACAGGUAGUCAAGAUGAGAAUUCUAAGGUGAGCGAGCGAACUCUCGUUAAGGAACUCGGCAAAAUGACCCCGUAACUUCGGGAGAAGGGGUGCUCUUUAGGGUUAACGCCCAGAAGAGCCGCAGUGAAUAGGCCCAAGCGACUGUUUAUCAAAAACACAGGUCUCUGCUAAACCGUAAGGUGAUGUAUAGGGGCUGACGCCUGCCCGGUGCUGGAAGGUUAAGAGGAGUGGUUAGCUUCUGCGAAGCUACGAAUCGAAGCCCCAGUAAACGGCGGCCGUAACUAUAACGGUCCUAAGGUAGCGAAAUUCCUUGUCGGGUAAGUUCCGACCCGCACGAAAGGCGUAACGAUUUGGGCACUGUCUCAACGAGAGACUCGGUGAAAUCAUAGUACCUGUGAAGAUGCAGGUUACCCGCGACAGGACGGAAAGACCCCGUGGAGCUUUACUGUAGCCUGAUAUUGAAAUUCGGCACAGCUUGUACAGGAUAGGUAGGAGCCUUUGAAACGUGAGCGCUAGCUUACGUGGAGGCGCUGGUGGGAUACUACCCUAGCUGUGUUGGCUUUCUAACCCGCACCACUUAUCGUGGUGGGAGACAGUGUCAGGCGGGCAGUUUGACUGGGGCGGUCGCCUCCUAAAAGGUAACGGAGGCGCUCAAAGGUUCCCUCAGAAUGGUUGGAAAUCAUUCAUAGAGUGUAAAGGCAUAAGGGAGCUUGACUGCGAGACCUACAAGUCGAGCAGGGUCGAAAGACGGACUUAGUGAUCCGGUGGUUCCGCAUGGAAGGGCCAUCGCUCAACGGAUAAAAGCUACCCCGGGGAUAACAGGCUUAUCUCCCCCAAGAGUUCACAUCGACGGGGAGGUUUGGCACCUCGAUGUCGGCUCAUCGCAUCCUGGGGCUGUAGUCGGUCCCAAGGGUUGGGCUGUUCGCCCAUUAAAGCGGUACGCGAGCUGGGUUCAGAACGUCGUGAGACAGUUCGGUCCCUAUCCGUCGUGGGCGUAGGAAAUUUGAGAGGAGCUGUCCUUAGUACGAGAGGACCGGGAUGGACAUACCUCUGGUGUACCAGUUGUCGUGCCAACGGCAUAGCUGGGUAGCUAUGUGUGGACGGGAUAAGUGCUGAAAGCAUCUAAGCAUGAAGCCCCCCUCAAGAUGAGAUUUCCCAACUUCGGUUAUAAGAUCCCUCAAAGAUGAUGAGGUUAAUAGGUUCGAGGUGGAAGCAUGGUGACAUGUGGAGCU